AAAGAAAAAGUGUGAAUUUUCAAGGAAAUUAAGUGAAAAAGGUGAGAUUUUUUCUAUUAAGCUUGAGUUUUCUUAUUCCCAAGCAUUUCUCCUUAUUUUCCAUGAUUAAAUUGCAUGUUUUCAUGGUGAUUUAAUGGCUGGUCAUAUGGGUCUAGAGAGAGAAAAUUGUUGGAUUGAUUUGAUUUUGAUAUAUGUUAGUGUUUAGUGUUAAUUUAGCAUGUUAGUAAACAAAAUAUGUAGAAAAACAUUCAUUUUUCCCAUUACCUAGUCUUAGCUGAAUUUUCAAGCCAAUGGUGAGGAAGAAUGUGAUGUUAUUUUAGGUUAUUUGAUUAUGAAAUCAUGGUUUUUGAUAUGGAAAUUAAUGAAUUAUGGAAAGAAAAUCAAGUAGGAAAAAUUGUGACAAUGAUGCACCAUUUUGGCCGAAUUUUUCCAAGAAGGAAUAUGAAUGUGGCUUUGCUGAUUUUUGGGUUAUUUGGCUGGACAUUGGUGAUUUGAAGCAUUAGAAAAAGAAAUGGGAUCAAUUGGAGCUAAAUUGGAUGCGUAUUUCAAUUUAUCGGGUAAAAGACCGAAAUAGGUCAAUACGGUGUUUAGGCAAAAUUUAGACCUUUUGCAUUUCAUACCAUGCAUUAGUGAUCUAAAUUAGUUAUUUCAAUUUAAGGGCAACGUAGUAAAUUCCUUGAUUUUAUACUGUGUCAAGGUGGUGUGCCCUUCGACAAAGGCAAGGAAAUUACGCCUAGGGAUCACUAAGCUGAGUACACUCGAAAUCUAAACUUUUGAAACCUGUGAGUAAACCUAUUAUCGUCUGAAUUAUCUAGAGUAGUUUUUAUUCAAUUUUGUGAUUUGUGAAAAUUAUUUUAAAUGAUGAAUUUCUUGUUUUAUGAGAAAAAUAUGAAUUUAUAAAAUAAAUGGAAUUAUAAAAUAAAUUGAAUUUUUUAUAAAUUGAUUUGAAAAUAGAAUGUUGGAUUUGAAAAUUUGAGUAAUUGGAGACCAUGUGAUUUAUUAUAAAUUAUGAUUUGAAUUAAAUGGCUUGUGAUAAAUUGGCAUGAUUGGCUGAAUUUAUACUUGUGUUGAAAAAUAUGAACUGUCUGUUUUGCCUUGAUAAAUUGGUUAGUAAUGUAAUUGCCAUGCUAUGCCAUUGAGAUUUGAUCAAUUGGUGGAUUAAAGAUUAGCUACUGCAGUGAUGGGGUUCCGUGGACCAGCCUAUUAGAGGGGCAUGAUAAACUCCUUUAUAUUCUCACAUCGAUCGUAGAGGCGCGUAGGGUAUCUCUUGAGGUGGGCUUUUUGAGUGCGCUUCACGUUAACCACCACGUGAAGUGAGACUCAGUCAACGCCAAGGAACGACUGCUUUUUUUUCAAAAUAAAAACAAGUUUUAUGAUUAUAUAAAAUUUUUCACAGCCUUGGCGGACUCGGUUGGAUACCCCUGGUCUAGGUGUCCCCGAGUACAGGAUUUGGCAUGAGCCAAGUUUUGAGAAAUUCAUGAGCCAUAUUGAUUAUUUGGUUGAAAUGAAUAUUCGUGUUGUGAAAAAUUUGCUGAAAUGAAUUAUUUUUAAUUGUCUCCCUUUACUCGCCUUUAGAUUAUUUAGAUGGUGUUUGUUUACUCACUGAGAUUUUAUAAUCUCACCCUUUUUUUUUAUCCCAUCAUUUCAGGCCGAGUUAGCCUGUAGAUAGCAGACAUCGUCGAGAACUAUAGUUGGCCAUACUACUUCAAAAACUGUAGGUUUACUGUCUUUACUACUUUUGUUCAUUUGUGGGCCCACGUAAUACUGUAAAUUAAAUUUCAUACUUUGGUUUUUCGUAUUAUAGUUUGUAUAAAUAUAUUUAACUUUU
rnacentral:lncRNA from 1 species